GAUGAAGAACGCAGCGAAAUGCGAUACGUAAUGUGAAUUGCAAAUUCAGUGAAUCAUCGAGUCUUUGAACGCACAUUGCGCCCCCUGGUAUUCCGGGGGGCAUGCCUGUCCGAGCGUCAUUGCUGCCCUCAAGCACGGCUUGUGUGUUGGGCCCCGUCCUCCGAUCCCGGGGGACGGGCCCGAAAGGCAGCGGCGGCACCGCGUCCGGUCCUCGAGCGUAUGGGGCUUUGUCACCCGCUCCCGUAGGUCCAGCUGGCAGCUAGCCUCGCAACCAAUCUUUUUAACCAGGUUGACCUCGGAUCAGGUAGGGAUACCCGCUGAACUUAAGCAUAUCAAUAAGCGGAGGA
rnacentral:misc_RNA from 1 species